rnacentral:lncRNA from 1 species
GAGAUGAAAUAAAAUAUUCAUUAAGAACAAAAUAAAGUUUAUACAAUUUCAAGAAUAAAAAUAAAAAAUAAAACCCUUGGCCCUUUGUUAGGGCUGCAUCCAGCCCUAGUAAAGGAAUCAGCCCUGCAUGGUAUGGGAGGUGGUAGCGGCGACGCUAAAGGCUUCCAUCUCUUCUUUCCUUCCUUCACUGAUUCUUUCCUCCCUUAUGUUGGAACUCCCUGAUGAACAAGCCACAGACUUCUUCGGAUCAGAAAAGAGCUGCCCCUUCAGGAGAAUAACUCUUCCUUU